rnacentral:rRNA from 1 species
GACAGAGGGUGCAAACGUUGUUCGGAAUUACUGGGCGUAAAGCGCGUGUAGGCGGCCCUGCAAGUCGGAUGUGAAAUCCCACGGCUCAACCGGGGAAGUGCAUCCGAAACUGGCAGGCUAGAGUACGAAAGAGGGUCGCGGAAUUCCCGGUGUAGAGGUGAAAUUCGUAGAUAUCGGGAGGAACACCGGUGGCGAAGGCGGCGACCUGGGUCGAUACUGACGCUGAGGUGCGAAAGCGUGGGGAGCAAACAGG